UCAACGCUGGCGGCGUGCCUAACACAUGCAAGUCGAGCGAGAAAGGGUAGCAAUACCUGAGUAAAGCGGCGCACGGGUGAGUAACACGUGGAUAACCUGCCUCGAAGUGGGGGAUAACACCGGGAAACCGGUGCUAAUACCGCAUACCCUGACGAGAUCUGCGGAUUUUGUCAGUAAAGGAGCAAUUCGCUUUGAGAGGGGUCCGCGGCUGAUUAGCUAGUUGGUGAGGUAACGGCUCACCAAGGCAUCGAUCAGUAGCCGGUCUGAGAGGACGGUCGGCCACACUGGAACUGAGACACGGUCCAGACUCCUACGGGAGGCAGCAGUGGGGAAUUUUUGGCAAUGGGGGAAACCCUGACCAAGCAACGCCGCGUGGAUGAUGAAGUAUCUUGGUACGUAAAAUCCUUUCGACGGGGACGAAACCGCAAGGUUGACGGUACCCGUAGAAGAAGCCCCGGCUAACUCCGUGCCAGCAGCCGCGGUAAUACGGGGGGGGCAAGCGUUGUUCGGAAUUACUGGGCGUAAAGGGCGCGUAGGCGGCUCGCUAAGUCGGAUGUGAAAACUCUGGGCUCAACCCAGAGCCUGCAUUCGAAACUGACGAGCUCGAGCUCUGGAGGGGAAAGCGGAAUUCCUGGUGUAGCGGUGAAAUGCGUAGAUAUCAGGAGGAACACCGGUGGCGAAGGCGGCUUUCUGGACAGAAACUGACGCUGAUGCGCGAAAGCUAG
rnacentral:rRNA from 1 species